GACAGAGGUGGCAAGCGUUGUUCGGAUUUAUUGGGUGUAAAGGGCAGGUAGGUGGUUAUGUAAGUCUGGUGUGAAAUCCCAGGGCUCAACCCUGGAACUGCAUUGGAAACUACAUGACUUGAGUACCGGAGAGGUAAGAGGAAUUCUCGGUGUAAGGGUGAAAUCUGUAGAUAUCGAGAGGAACACCAGUGGCGAAGGCGUCUUACUGGCCGGUUACUGACACUGAGCUGCGAAAGCAAGGGGAGCAAACAGG
rnacentral:rRNA from 1 species